rnacentral:rRNA from 1 species
UACGUAGGGUGCAAGCGUUGUCCGGAUUCAUUGGGUUUAAAGGGUCCGUAGGCGGUUUAAUAAGUCAGUGGUGAAAGCCCAUCGCUCAACGGUGGAACGGCCAUUGAUACUGUUAAACUUGAAUUAUUAGGAAGUAACUAGAAUAUGUAGUGUAGCGGUGAAAUGCUUAGAGAUUACAUGGAAUACCAAUUGCGAAGGCAGGUUACUACUAAUGGAUUGACGCUGAUGGACGAAAGCGUGGGUAGCGAACAGG